rnacentral:ncRNA from 1 species
UGCUGGCCGUGUGACUGGCGCAAACGCGGAGCACCGCGGGGAAGCACGGUCGCCGACGCCGCGCGCCUGGGCAUGUCAU